UUUACUUUCGCCAGCAAAUACUUUUUUGGCUUUGAAAAUUGAGGUGUGCAUUAGAUUUGAUGGCGUAUUGGACUCGAGUAAAUACGCUAAAUAAUGGGAUGAAUAGGGAGGCAGGAGAGAAUAUAUUAUUUAAUAAUAUCCUUCCGAACUUGCGCUAGCAAGUCCCAUAUUCUAGCAGAGUUCCAAACAUCUCUCUUUUUAAAUUACGCAGCGAUCAGCUUGUUGCUGACUCAUCUGAGUCUUACUAUUAAAGAUUCCUUCCUGGUAAAAUCUCUUGCCUUUACCUCUUAAAAAGAAUAAACACAAGAAUCUGAUUAACGUUAAUAUAAAAAUAGUUUACUCACAGAUUCAUUCAGGUUCACAGACAUAUCCCUGAAGGCUGGCUUAGGUUACUUAACAACUAGAACUAUUCCAUAAAGAAGUUAGUCCCAAGUGACUGUGGCAAAGCAGUCACUUCUCCAAACAUACAGCAACAUCCAAAAUGGAGAACACACACACUGAUCAGAACAUGGAGGCUGUGUGCUCCUCCAUGCUAGUACAACAGACCACACCCUCUUCAAGUCACAUGUCUACUGUACCACUGUACUUGACUGCAGUUUUACAUCCCACAAAUAAUCUAUGGCUUUUUAAACUGUAGGGGGGUGUUUUUGUUUGUUGCUAUGGUAUGCAUUUUUAUGGUUUUAUAUUGCAAACAGCCCUGCAAUUUUUAGGUGAAGGGUGUUGUAAAAAUUUAAUAAUAAAGAUCUUAACUGGGUUUGAAUUGGCACUUUAGCAUGGGGGCAGAGGGUAGAACAUCAAUGGGGAACCUGGGACUCUUUAGAUGUUGGCCCCAGCCACCAUAGUCAUUGGUCAAGGGUGAUGGGAGCUGCAGUCUUAACUACAUCUCUGGAGGGCCAGAGAUUCCCAUCCCCUGGGGUAAAGCAUAACCCCAGUACUGUAUGUAUAAAAGACUACACACACGAAAAGGUAACUGAAACAAAUCACUUGUUUUAUUGAUGCAUAAUGCAUCAUUCAGAAACUAAUGUUACAAAUUUGAUGAACUUUGAAGGGAAAUGUAGCAACAUAGAGGAAAUGGCAGGCAGCUUAUUCAGAAAAUGAUAUGGAUUAAGAAUUACAUAAUUGCA